AACGAACGCUGGCGGCAUGCCUAACACAUGCAAGUCGAACGAGACCUUCGGGUCUAGUGGCGCACGGGGGCGUAACGCGUGGGAACCUGCACUUAGGUUCGGAAUAACUCUCCGAAAGGGGUGCUAAUACCGGAUAAUGUCUUCGGCCCAAAGAUUUAUCGCCUUUGGAGGGGCCCGCGUUGGAUUAGCUAGUUGGUAGGGUAAAAGCCUACCAAGGCGACGAUCCAUAGCUGGUCUGAGAGGAUGAUCAGCCACACUGAGACUGAGACACGGCCCGGACUCCUACGGGAGGCAGCAGUGGGGGAUAUUGGACAGUGGGCGAAAGCCUGAUCCAGCAAGGCCGCGUGAGUGAUGAAGGCCUUAGGGUUGUAAAGCUCUUUUAACCGGGAUGAUAAUGACAGUACCGGGAGAAUAAGCUCCGGCUAACUCCGUG
rnacentral:rRNA from 1 species